rnacentral:rRNA from 1 species
AUUGAACGCUGGCGGCAGGCCUAACACAUGCAAGUCGAGCGGAUGAAGGGAGCUUGCUCCUGGAUUCAGCGGCGGACGGGUGAGUAAUGCCUAGGAAUCUGCCUGGUAGUGGGGGAUAACGUCCGGAAACGGGCGCUAAUACCGCCUACGUCCUGAGGGAGAAAGUGGGGGAUCUUCGGACCUCACGCUAUCAGAUGAGCCUAGGUCGGAUUAGCUAGUUGGUGGGGUAAAGGCCUACCAAGGCGACGAUCCGUAACUGGUCUGAGAGGAUGAUCAGUCACACUGGAACUGAGACACGGUCCAGACUCCUACGGGAGGCAGCAGUGGGGAAUAUUGGACAAUGGGCGAAAGCCUGAUCCAGCCAGGCCGCGUGUGUGAAGAAGGUCUUCGGAUUGUAAAGCACUUUAAGUGGGGAGGAAGGGCAGUAAGUUAAUACCUUGCUGUUUUGACGUUACCAACAGAAUAAGCACCGGCUAACUUCGUG